rnacentral:ncRNA from 1 species
UAAUAAUAUUGUCAAACAUAUCGAAAGAUAGAGACGCAAAGCCACGGGUCCAAAGUAUAUUGCAAUGACAGCCGGGGUGCAGUU